rnacentral:tRNA from 1 species
GGGGAUUUAGCUCAGUGGCAUAAGCACCUGCCUUGCAAGCGGGCGGUCAUGAGUUCAAUCCCCA